UGAUGCUGGAAUCUUUAACAAUCCCUCCUGGCAGAGAGAAUCACUGGACUGGAAGCAUCUAGACCUUUCCUUCCGGCUUUGAUUCUCUGUUUGUAUGAGAUAGCUACAGCAAAGGUGCAGCUGAGUGACUUCCUUUCCUUGAAGCACCCCAAGUGAGGCUCACAGCCUCGGAUUUACUUUGGAUAAAAGCACGAAAAGCCAACCAUUGACUCAGAGACAAGAUAACUGAAUGGAUCUGAAUGGAUCUUCAUGGUGAAGAAGAAAGAAGAAAAGAGAAGAGGACAGAAAAGGACAAGACAGGAGCACAAAAAGAAAGAAAGGAGGAAAGAAAAAAGGAAGAAAGAAAGAAAAUCUGGGAAAGUGUGAUGGACUAGGCUCCUAUUCACUUGUUUAAGCUAAUUCUGCAGACCUGGAGCCUGAGAUCCAUAAACCCAGGAAGAUGGCUGAAGAUCAUGCUGGAUUAAAGCCAAAGCAAGGAACCAGUGGGACAGUGGGCAGACCAGAUGCUUUGAUGACAUGUGACGUAAUGCUGCAAGACUGAAGCAGUUUCCCCCAAAUGAAGCUACUGAACUAUCUUGAGGAGCAACGGUUGAACUGUUCAUUGAGGACAAGCCUGGGGUACCUCACCUGGACUGUGUUACACUUCCUGGAAGGAGCAGCACUGGGUAAAGGAACAACAGGAAAGGCAAUGAUGUGGGCCGUCAAGAAUGUAGACAUCCUGAUUCUGUCUUUCACAGUUGACAAGGAUUGGUGCCAGAUAAUGCAGUAAAACCUCGGCUUGAAAAAUUAAACUUCAAUAUGUUUUGGCCGUAAUAGUCCCAUUAGGAAGCUGUGUCUUAUAUUCACUUUGGUGGGCUGGGAAACAUGACCUUUUUCACAAUUAUUGGAUUAGUAGAAGUAGGUCUAUUAUAGUUAUAAUGUACUUAAAUUGCAACAAGGAGCAUGCCAAGGACUUCUUUUUAAAACACCCUGGUGAACAAAAUGGAGGAAAUAUGAGUUUGAUCAUUGUUCCUUUAGUUGAAUUUUGAAAAUUUAAGUACUAAUUUUAUUGAGCACUUACUAUGUGACAGGUGUUGUAUUGAAGAUUUUAUGUGCAUUAAUCAAUUAAUCUUCAUAAAACCCUACAAACUCUGCAUUACUAACUCCAUCAUCCAGAUGAGGUAACCAUUUGGAAAGGAUGUUAAUUAUUAAUUCUGUUUCCCUGGAGCAGGAAUUCUUCCCAAGUGUGGAAGAGGAGGCCAUACUUGCUACAGGAUUUAUCAGAUUCACUUGGAUAAGAGUUUUUCUUUCAAAGCAUAAAGCGCUUAACCUUCGUUUUAGUUUCCCUCUUAGAAAACCUGCAUCUCAUCACCUUGGAUAUCUCAAAUGUUUUUUAAGCUCUAAUUGAUGUGCACGGGUGGUUGCAAGCUCUGUCAGAUACACUGAGGUGGGAAAAAGGUUGAGCUUUACUACGGCAAAGGGAUGCCCUUGAUGGUAAGCUGUAAGACUCUGUACCUAUUUCUGUCUUGGUUUCAACAUUAUAGUUAAUGUCUUCACUGGAGAUGUAGAAAAGUUUGCCAAUCAAGUGUUAUAAGAGAACUGCAAUGAGAGAGGAAGUAAUACGCUGGAUGAAAGAAUCAGGACUCUAAGAAGAAUUCACUAGACUACAAAGAUGGCCCAUAAACAACAAAAUAAACUUAAUAAAAGUAAGUGUGGCCUCCAGUACUAGUUUCACAAAAUAAACAAAAAUUUUAAAACCAGUAACUCUACAGGUUGGAUACAUGUUUAAUGUGGUUGCCAAAAAUGUUAGUGGGAAUUUAGGUUGCAACAAUAACUGUAUAGAGUCUAGAAUACAGGAGGUGAUUAUUGUACUUUUUUCUGAGUUUAUAGAUGCCACACCUCAAUCAAGUCCUCUGCU